UGGGGAAUUUUGGACAAUGGGCGAAAGCCUGAUCCAGCAAUGCCGCGUGUGUGAAGAAGGCCUUCGGGUUGUAAAGCACUUUUGUCCGGAAAGAAAUCCUUGGCUCUAAUACAGUCGGGGGAUGACGGUACCGGAAGAAUAAGCACCGGCUAACUACGUGCCAGCAGCCGCGGUAAUACGUAGGGUGCAAGCGUUAAUCGGAAUUACUGGGCGUAAAGCGUGCGCAGGCGGUUUGCUAAGACCGAUGUGAAAUCCCCGGGCUCAACCUGGGAACUGCAUUGGUGACUGGCAGGCUAGAGUAUGGCAGAGGGGGGUAGAAUUCCACGUGUAGCAGUGAAAUGCGUAGAGAUGUGGAGGAAUACCGAUGGCGAAGGCAGCCCCCUGGGCCAAUACUGACGCUCAUGCACGAAAGCGUGGGGAGCAAACAGGAUUAGAUACCCUGGUAGUCCACGCCCUAAACGAUGUCAACUAGUUGUUGGGGAUUCAUUUCCUUAGUAACGUAGCUAACGCGUGAAGUUGACCGCUUGGGGAGUACGGUCGCAAGAUUAAAACUCAAAGGAAUUGACGGGGUCAUAGCUGUUUCCU
rnacentral:rRNA from 1 species